rnacentral:rRNA from 1 species
GAGGCUGUUCCAAGGGACGGGAUCUCCUACACCUGGCGAAGCCUGCUGCAUGGACUCGAGCUAGUUAAGCAAGGCUAUAUCUGGCGCAUUGGAGACGGGUCUGAAGUUCGGGUUUGGAAGGACCCAUGGAUUCCUCGGCCGGGGUCGCGACAUGUCAUCACCCCUAGAGGGGACAACUUACUCGAGUAUGUUACUGAUCUGAUAUCUCCAGUCACCGGGACAUGGGACAAGCAACUUGUCCGUGACACGUUCUGACCGGACGAUACACGCCACAUUUUACAGAUACCUUUGAGGGAAGGAGUGCCUGACUUCAUAGCCUGGCAGUUUGAUGACAAAGGAAAGCUCUCAGUGAAAAGCGCCUACAAGCUUCAUGUGCACCUCGGUAAGCAGGCAAAGAAUGGAGGGCAGGGUGCAAGUAUUGCACAGGUGGGCAAUCUGAACAUAUGCAUGGAUGAAUCUUGGAAGAGACUUUGGAAACUACCAUGCCCCAAGAACAUUCAAAUGUUCGCUUGGCGACUAAAACAUGAAUCGUUGGCUCUCCGUACAAGUGUGCAAAGAAGGGGUAUACCCAUAGAAGACACGAAGUGCCUAUUCUGCAGCAGGGCUGAUGACGACGGAGCGCAUCUUUUCAUACGAUGCAAAUCAGUCAAGCUGGUAUGGCGGGAGCUAGGCCUAGAGAAUGUCAGAGCACAGCUAGAAGAAAUAACAUCUGUGCAUGUUAUGUUUGAUUUCAUGUGGGGUUUGAAUGAGGAGGAACAGGUCCUGAUCCUUACGGCCUGGUGGUUGUGGUGGAACAAUAGGAAUAAGCUCAGGGAGGGGGAGCUGCCAGCAGGAACCAGCGAUAUUGCGAGACGUGCGCGGGCUAUGGUUUUCGACUAUGCUGAAGCCUUCAAGCCACCAGAUCAAAAACACGGCGCCAAGGAUAUUUGGAUGCCGCCGGGGGAGGACAUGAUCAAAAUAAACCUUGAUGGGGCCUUUACACCUGGCGAAUCCUUCAUUGGGUGGGGUGUGGUUGCACGAGAUGUAUCAGGCCACAUUGUAAGUGUUCGAGCAGGGCGCCAAGAUCACGUUCAAGAUGCGUUUGGGGCUGAAGUUUAUGCUAUGUCACAGGCUGUUACGCUUGCUGCGGAUCUGGGAUUAACCCGGAUGUUCUUCGAGACUGACUCCCAGCUUCUGGUUGAUGCCCUUGAUCUUGGCAAGGUGGACUCAUCGGCAUACGCCGCAGUGAUCGAGGACUCGAAAAUGCAACUCAAGCUAUGGUUCUCCCAACAUAAAAUCAUGUACUGUGGGCGUAGGGCGAAUUUCGUAGCGCAUGAGCUAGCUAAGAUUGGUCAUAUGUAUCCUCCCAACCAGUUUGUGGAAUGGGAUUCUGAUGUACCUGCCCACGUGGCAUCUUGUGCUGUGGGCGAUAUGGCCCAGCACCGUUAA